AUUGAACGCUGGCGGCAGGCCUAACACAUGCAAGUCGAGCGGGCGGCGGACGGGUGAGUCAUGCCUGAGAAUUGCCCAGUCGAGGGGGAUAACAGUUAGAAACGACUGCUAAUACCGCAUACGGUUGGAUGGCCCAGGGGCGAUUGGCUUGUUUGUGAGGUAAUGGCUCACCAAGGCGACGAUCCCUAGCUGGUCUGAGAGGAUGAUCAGCCACACGGGAACUGUGACACGGUCCAGACGCCGACGGGAGGCAGCAGUGGGGAAUAUUGGACAAUUGGGGAAACCCCGAUGCAGCCAUGCCGCGUGUGUGAAGAAGGCCUUCGGGUUGUAAAGUACUUUAGGUGAGGCGGCGUGACUCGCAGAAGAAGCACCGGCUAACUCCGUGCCAGCAGCCGCGGUAAUAC
rnacentral:rRNA from 1 species